UGGGGCUGGGAGCAGAUAUGUUGGCUAAGAUCCCCUGAGCUCAGCACUAAGCAGGAGUGAAACACAGGCUUUGCAAGAUGAAGUAUCUCUGGUGAAGGCCUGGGAGCCCAGAGCUGGCAGCCUACCCAAGCUCUGCAGAUAACAAGCAUCUGAGUGUGGCUGCUCCCCUGACUGAUCUCCUUUCUGCACCUGUUCCAGCUUGGUUUCAAGGCAGCUCCUGUCUAUGAACAAGCCAUGCUCAUGGCCUCAGGACAUUGAUUCUCCUACUAUUAAUCUCAUAAAUUUGGUAAUGUAUAAUAUGACCAUGACAACUUCUACAUAAGUGCUUGUUUUACAUACAUACUCUCUGGUCCAGUUUCAUAAAAUGUGCUUGAUGAUUUGCAAUUUUGCAAGUGUAUCACAUUUCACUUUCUCCAUUCUGGAGAGCGGAAAUACAUCUUAUUCACUCUGUGUUUUCCAGAUUCUUGCUCUGUUUAAUUACCCUGCUUUCCCAUCUUUCCAGCCAGCUGCAAGAACCUUGACCAAGAGCUAUUUGGAUCAUUUCUGAAUGCUAAAUUAACAAUUGCAGACUGACAGACUGAUGCUUUUCCCAGUAUUCAGAGGAGUGACCUAGCAGGCUUAUGCAGGGAUGACAACAGUGGAGGAUGAGGCUGACAGAGGAAAUGCUUCUCUAAGGAUGAAGCGAAUGUCUGCCCCUGGACCCAUGUCCCAUGUCCCAGGAAUGCCUGAGGAACUGAGGGCACGUUGGGACACUGAUGGGAGCUGAGAUGGGGAGCUCUGCCAAAAUACAAUGACAAAACAUGGCCACAGGAAAAAUAAUUGCUAACCACAACAGUGCUUGAUGGAGGGAUAAAAUACGUCUUAAUGUUUUUCUAUUUUUGACCAAGAAAAGCUUGGGUUUAUUUCAACGAGAUGUUUGCUUGUUUGAGGCAUCUGUGAUCACAUCCUGACUGUGGAUCACUGCUGGCAGGGAAGAAAAAUGCCACCCCUCGAUGAGUACAAGAAGAGCAAGCAACAACUGCCAGCAGUUUAGCUGGUUUGUGUAUAAAAAGCUUUCCAUGAGAUGGCAGUUUAGGCAUGAAACAGCUCUUCUAAAACCAGGAUCAGAGGGAUUAAUGGCAACACAUACUCUAUUUGUCCCUUGUUUCCAAAUCUUUCACUAAAGGUACUGUGAGCUUUGCCAUGGAUUUCCACAAGAUCAGAACUCAGCUCUCUGCUGCUUAGGUAGCAUUUAGAAGUAGCUUUUCUAUAAAGUAAAAACAUGUCUACAUACCAGUCCUUAAUCUCUUUAAGCACAAAGUUUAUUUGUUUCAUCAGCAAAGCAAAUUGCUGUAAAAACCACUUAGCAGCAUGAACUCUGUUGCACAGCAGAUUGAAAAGCAGUGCUGCCAGUGGCCAAACCACUGCACAAACACACACUUUUUCUUUACAGACCCAGACAGCAAAUCUAACUUCUUAGUGCAGCAAAUCAUGUCUUGUUCUUAAACUCUGAGGGAAGUUCAUAAACCCUCUUUUUUUUUUUUUUUUGUUUGUUUGUUUGUUUUGAAUGUAUUUUUUUAUUUUUAUUUUUAUUUUUAUUUUUAUUUUUAUUUUUAUUCUUCCAAGUAAGUACAAAGCUAUCUCAAGACUAUUUAAAGUGUUUGAGAAACAUCUUUUAACUAUAAUGCCAUGUAUUAAUUUGUAGAUUAUAGCAGCUCUUCUCCUGGGAAAGACUGAAGAAUAUGGUCUCAAACCUGGAGAAAGACGGUGCCAUUUCACCAGCAGAAUGCCACAACAUGUCACCAUGUCUGUGUAAGAAGCUGGAGCUACAGAAACAGCACAGGGGGGUCACAAGGAGCUUUAUUCUUUCAGGUCCUUCUGUCCUUACUCAGGUGAAGGACUCAUCCCAGGGAGAUAUUAAAGAUAAAAUUGCUAAAA